rfam:Anas platyrhynchos breed Pekin duck contig23319, whole genome shotgun sequence.
CUAAAGGCUCUUUUAAGAGCCACCACUUCACCACUUGAGAGAGCUG